rnacentral:rRNA from 1 species
AUUGAACGCUGGCGGCAUGCCUUACACAUGCAAGUCGAACGGCAGCGCGGGCUUCGGCCUGGCGGCGAGUGGCGAACGGGUGAGUAAUACAUCGGAACGUGCCCUAGAGUGGGGGAUAACUAGUCGAAAGAUUAGCUAAUACCGCAUACGAUCUACGGAUGAAAGCGGGGGACCGUAAGGCCUCGCGCGAUUGGAGCGGCCGAUAUCAGAUUAGCUAGUUGGUGAGGUAAUGGCUCACCAAGGCGACGAUCUCUAGCUGGUUUGAGAGGAUGAUCAGCCACACUGGAACUGAGACACGGUCCAGACUCCUACGGGAGGCAGCAGUGGGGAAUAUUGGACAAUGGGCGCAAGCCUGAUGCAGCAACGCCGCGUGAGGGAUGG